GUACUCAUUUUUUUUAGCACAUGUACUAAAAUUGAGAUGAUAAAAAGGAAUAUUAUCAUGGUCCCUUUAUAAAUAUGAUGCACAAAUUCAUGAAGCAGGCUAUGUUUUU